UUCUUUUAGUUUUGCUUGCAUGCUUUUAAAAAUAUUAAAUAAAGAUCUAUUGGGCCUAUUCAUUAUGUAGCUGGCUCUCCUGCCAUCAAAUGACAAUCCAGUCAAUUGCAAAGUGGAAAGGAGCUCUCCUGUCAGAGUGUCAGGCCUUCUCUAAUUAUUAUAUGCAGCUUGAUCUUUCUAACUUGGAAUGUGAAAUUUUUGUUGAAGUUUAUAUUUUGGCUGUAGCAGCAAUUAUGCAUGUUGGUUAGCUUGCAUUCAACAUAUCAUAAAGAGGCACAUGCACUAUUUAAAUCCUCUGAUUUCCCUAGUUCUGGGUUUUAACAAAGACAUGUCAAGGAAAUAAAUAAAGCAGUCAACUUCCCAUCAUGUAUUAGUUUUUUGACACAGUUCCCUUUUAUGGGCCUGCCUUUUUAAACUUUUACUUUUCGUGUGUGUGGUAUGAAACAUGCCUAGUGACUGGUUCAAGGAUGUGGCACUAGCUGUUUCAAUGUUUUCCCCUGCUUAUGAUAUUACCUCUUCUUCUUGGGAAAACCAUUUUCUAUUAUUUUUCUUUCCACACCCUUCCCCCUAAACUUUCUUUGUAAAUGAGCCACUGCAUUUUGGCAAAUACAUUCUGGCAUAGUGUUGAUUUUAUUUUUUAACUUUUAUAUCUUUGAUGAAUGGAGUUGAUCCAAAUGGUAGAAGCAUGGAAAAGCCAAGAACCAAAAGGAUGUAACUGAUAGAACCAAACCUUGGCAGUUGUCUGAAAUUGUGGAUGCUGUCCAGUUCUGAUUAGUGACCAUGCCUGAAGGCACAGAUUCUUCCAGCAAGGUUGUUCGACUUCUAUAUGCAAAUUCUGGCAUUAGGGUUUCGGCACUUGGGUCAGAUGGUGUUCAGAAACUAUGGAAAUGGGCAGGGAACGAACAAAAUCCAAAUGGAAAGGCCACUGCCAGUAUUGUUCCUCAACACUGGCAACCAAACAGUGGUCUUCUUUAUGGCUCAUGAUGUCUCAGGUGUCAUCCUUGAAGAAUCAGUACCAUGUAUAGCACUAUCAAAAAAUGACUCAUAUGUGAUGUCAGCUUGUGGUGGAAACGUUUCAUUAUUUAAUAUGAUGACAUUCAAGGUAAUGACAACAUUUAUGCCAGCACCCCCUGCUUCUACCUUCCUAGCAUUUCAUCCUCAAGACAAAUAACAUACAUCAUAGCUAUUGGAAUGGAGGAUUCAACUAUACACAUAUAAUGUUAGAGUUGAUAAGGUAAAAUCAAAACUGAAGGGACACCAGAAGCAAAUAACUGGUUUAGCUUUUUCAACGAAUCUUAAUAUCCUGGUUUCGUCAGGGGCUGAUGCUCAACCUUGUUCAAUGGGAUUUGCUACUGGUGGAAAAAACAUUCUUAUGAUGUGUGGUGGGUUUUGCUUUUUGCCUGGUCAUGGAAUCUUGCAUAGGUAAUUUUCCUUUGAAACUACUUGUCUUUUAUCUAUUUCUUAUGAUGAUUGAUUGUCUUCCAAGCAGGGGCGGCUUAUGGCCUAGGCUACUUAAGCCUUGGCCUAAGGGCCAGUAUAAGUGAAUGUGUCUUAAUAGAUAUCUCACAACUUAUAUAUGUUUUGUCUUCCUCUGUUUGUUUUUUGUCUUCUCUAUAUUCUUCUUGUGUUUAUUAAUAUAUUGUGUGAUACUGCAAGUAAUUUUAUUUUCAUGGGAGUUCGCAUA